UCUCAUGAACAACACAUGCCUCGCCAUGUGUCGUUAAUAGAAUACAUAGUCCUCUGCUUUAAAAAAUUAUGUAAGCUUCGUUUAUGUUUGUUGGAGCGUCGCCCCUUUAUACUGGAUAAGACACAAAUGACAUGUCUGAAAUCUGUAUUUCAACAUCCAAUUUGUAAUAGUCUGAAUAUGUCGGCAAAAGAUUAUGAAACUGAGAUUUAUAGCAUGUUAAACUUAAGUAUCUAUUUAAACGGCAUGCUUUAGGAUGUUUUCUCAUGAAUUGACUCAACAUAUCCGCGCUUGGAGUCAUCGUACCAAGAUAGCAAGAAAACAACAAAUUUUGCUGGGGAGCGUCUAUAGUACUGUCUUUCUUCUUUUAUCGUUUCUAGUAUAGUUUAUUAUGUUUUCUAACUUUUUUGCUUGUUGAUUGAGUUGUGUUUUCUUUUAGCGUUUUAUCUUAAAUACUUAGAGAAACAAAUAUCGUUAAUAUGGAUUUUUCCUUAUUCUCUUAGG